rnacentral:rRNA from 1 species
AUACGGAGGAUGCGAGCGUUAUCCGGAUUUAUUGGGUUUAAAGGGUGCGUAGGCUGUGCGUUAAGUCAGGGGUGAAAUGCCGUCGCUCAACGACGGAGCUGCCCUUGAUACUGGCGUGCUGGAGUACGGAUGCCGUUGGAGGAAUGAGUGGUGUAGCGGUGAAAUGCUUAGAUAUCACUCAGAACACCGAUUGCGAAGGCAUCUGACGAAUCCGUCACUGACGCUGAGGCACGAAAGCGUGGGGAUAGAACAGGAUUAGAUACCCUGGUAUUCCACGCCGUAAACGAUGAUGACUAACCGUCGGCGAUAGACAGCCGGUGGCCAAGCGAAAGCGAUAAGUCAUCCGCCUGGGGAGUACGUCGGCAACGAUGAAACUUAAAGGAAUUGGCGGGG